UAAGGAAUGCAUCAGAAGGGGAGCUGGCUAGAUGCUUACUAUCAGCCUCAGUACUUGAGAAGAUCAGGAUAAAGAACAGGCUAAUGGAUUCUGAGAGACCCUUGUGGCAUGGUACACACCAGCUGCAAUCCAAACAGUGACAGAAAAGGCACAUUGGAAGGAGGAAGAGAAAUCUCAAGCUCAACUUUUUAUAAGUAUAUACUAAUAAAAACCACACAACUCCAACUACGGCUACUCCACAGGAAGCAAUGGCAUAGCAAGCAGUCACAGUGGCUGGAGCUGGGAUUAGCACAGCCAGCAAGGGAGCUUUAGAGCACUGAGUAAUGCACUGUUUUCAUUCUGGGCUACUGUCUUAAUCUGGUACUCUCAAGCCUCUCAGCUUUGCUCAGUUCUGGAUAAGAGAGGCAGGACUGAAGCUCAAGGAAGCGUCAUACUUUCAAGGCAUCCCAGUAAACCCCGAAGGGUUUUUCUCUGCUAACCUCCACACUCCAGCCAAGACUUGCGUGUUGGUGUGAUGCUGUACAGAGAGGACAAGGUAAGGCAAGGUGAGGAAGGUGGCUGAGUAACAGCAUGCACACACAUACAGGUGUGCACACGUGUGCAAGUGCUUGACAAAGGUGGUCUUCCCCCGUGCCAAAGGAUAGCAACACGAAGCCUUCGUGAAACAGCGCUUAUUCCUUCCUUUGGAACAGCAUAACCUGAGAAUGAAACCCCAGGUCCUGUGUCUGACCACCCCACAGGCAGGCCUUAUUGUCAGAGUCACCACCUCAAGUAAAUCAAAAUCCAUGCCCACAGCCGUGGCAAGGCAGCAGCAGAACCAGGAGCAGGACCUGACCUUCCCCUCUCCCAGGUCCCUCUCUUACCUGUGUGCCCCUACAGUGGCUUUAGCAAAGGGAACACACGUGGACAUCGCCCCCGUACCACUGGAGAUCAAAGCCAUGACAGAUUUGUUUAUUGCAACACUGUGGGCUGCUCCUUGCCAAAACCAAACAGGUUUUAUAAAAUGGAACCAAGAAAUCCUUUUGAAAUGGUCACUGACUGCCACUCAUUCCAAUGGCCUUUUAAUGAACUGGUGAAGCCAGUGCACAAUGCGUGCCAUAAGAUGUACUUCGAAAAUAAACCUCAGGACACAGUGUUUGGACGACAUAAGACAAUCUUCACAUAGCUAAGAACCAUAUGUUUAUUUGUAAGAGACAUGCAGAAAUGCAUUUUCUACAUUAGAGGUCAACCACCUGCACUAUUAUCCUCUGCUAGUGCAGGGAAAGGUCUUGUUUGCACGUUACAAAUACUUGCUAGCCACAGAUUGCAGUUGCCUCCCAAUGAAGCUGGUGGUACUCCAGUCACUGCUGCUGGUGAGACUGUGAGCAAACAGGGGCCACAACAGCCCACAGUAAGCUCAGUGAUGGAACAGCCGAAGGUUGGUGUGGAUAAGAGUUAUUCCCAGCUCAUUGCAAGCUUCAAUCACAACCUCGUCGGCAGCAGAGCCAGAUGGGGCAACGAUGAACUGAACUCCACUCUGAACAAAGGCAGAGAUAAGGAGAGGGAUUAGAGGACUGAAAAACCAAACUGCCCUGAAAAGGAGCUGGCAGUCUCACUUCUUCAGUAAUAUCUCACUCCAAGCACUGAAAAAGCAACAGCCUCCAUUGCCCAAAGCAAUUCAAAGAGCAGGUCCUCAUGUGAGUGCUCAGCUCUUUCUAUAGCCCAGGAGUAAAAUGGUUCCUCUGGAAGCAAUAGGCUUUGUCUUGAUCUUAAGCUCUUUUUUUUUUUUUUUCUUUUUAAAUAAAAUUUAAUACUCUUUUCAUCCUAAACCAACCACCCAAGCAAUGGCAAGAUAAUCACCAUCCACAUGAGCCCAGUAACCACACCACUACCCUGCCCAGGACACGCAACUGCAGCCAGCACCCUCCGUACAGAACAGAGGCAUUCCCCAGAGCUGUGCACUGCACUCAAGCAGGAAGCCCAGCCAUGAUAAGACCUUACCCGUUUGGCUCUGUCAACAUUAUCCCUAAAAGGGAAGAAUGCGUCGGAGCUGAGGGAGACAGCAGUCAGCUUGGCAAUCCACUGCUUCUUCUCAGCUUCUGUUAGCUGUGCGGGCACCUCUUCAAACAUGGCCUGCCACUUCACCAGGUCCUCAUCCUGGAGGAAUGAGAAGUGCCAGCUCAGCCCCGAGGCACCAACUGCUGGAAGUACCCACCUGGGGCGUGCUUGGGAUGAGUGAUGGCAUCCCUGUGACCCAGUUCAGCUGUGCUUUCUGUUACCACAGCUCUGCUGCUGACAACCUCACACCAGCAAUUUUACAAUCCCAAGUGAUGGUGGGAAUGCAGUGCCAAUGUCAGCUCCUCCUGCAUCCUUUCAACACCUUCCCUUCCCCUCCGCACCCCAAAACUCAAGGGAUCUCCUCCAAGAUGCUCUGUUCAGCCUGCCUGCAGAGUGCUGCUCUGUGUCAAUGCCAGCACACACCACCUGGGCGCGGGGGAUGACUUCACCAACGGCAAACAGCAGCUUUGGUUUGUGAUUCACCUUCUGAACAGCACUGAAGUUCUUAUCCCCUCUGAGCCACUCUGAGAUGAUUCAUUCAGUCUCCAGUCCAGCUCUUGGCUUUCAAUACUUAAAAAGGGCAUGCUAUUUUCUUGUCUCACUUGUACUGAGGAGGUCAAAGCGAUUCCGGGAAUCCAAAAAGCCUUACAAGCAAACAGCGAAGUGCCAGAAGGAACAGCCAGCAGGCACGAUGGGGCAGGGAGAACUUAAAAACUGAGGCUUUAACCCUGCCUUAACACCAGGGGCAAACAUCCAAGGACACCAAGCUGCACACCAACGUGCAGAGCAGGCUCCAGGACCUCAGACAAUGGGUGCAGCAUCAGAGGGGCAAUCCGGGGGAACCCUCUUACCUCUCCAAUGGUGCCAGUGACGUACUGAUCGAUGGCGUUGGAGACCUCUGCUCUCUUCACUCCUGCUUUGAACUUCAUGGAGAGCACCCGUGGGUGGUGCCGCAGCCACCAGCUGUUGGCCUUGUCACCAGCCAGGCGCGUGCAGUGGAUGCGGGACUGCUGGCCGGCCCCGAUGCCAAUGACCUGCCCGUCCUUGGCGUAGCACACUGAGUUGGACUGGGUGUAUUUGACAGCAAUGCUGGCAACAAUCAGGUCUCGGACAGCAGACUCAGGCAGCUGAAACAAAAUGCCAUUGUCAAUCUCAUCGACUCAAUCUUAGCAGGUCCAGAUGGUUCUAUCUGGAAGCCCUGCAAAGUCUUCUGUAUUUGCUUGCUUUCCUCAGAAGAGCUCACAGGCCAGAAGCUAAGCAUAUACUCAACUAUGCACAGGACCAUAAUAACAGCUCAUGAAAUCUGCAUUAAAAGUUGAUUUAAG
rnacentral:lncRNA from 1 species